GGUCAAGUGAAGAAGCGCAUACGGUGGAUGCCUUGGCAGUCAGAGGCGAUGAAAGACGUGGUAGCCUGCGAAAAGCUUCGGGGAGUCGGCAAACAGACUUUGAUCCGGAGAUCUCUGAAUGGGGGAACCCACCUAGGAUAACCUAGGUAUCUUGUACUGAAUCCAUAGGUGCAAGAGGCGAACCAGGGGAACUGAAACAUCUAAGUACCCUGAGGAAAAGAAAUCAACCGAGAUUCCCUUAGUAGUGGCGAGCGAACGGGGAUUAGCCCUUAAGCUUCAUUGAUUUUAGCGGAACGCUCUGGAAAGUGCGGCCAUAGUGGGUGAUAGCCCCGUACGCGAAAGGAUCUUUGAAGUGAAAUCGAGUAGGACGGAGCACGAGAAACUUUGUCUGAACAUGGGGGGACCAUCCUCCAAGGCUAAAUACUACUGACUGACCGAUAGUGAACCAGUACCGUGAGGGAAAGGCGAAAAGAACCCCGGAGAGGGGAGUGAAAUAGAACCUGAAACCGUAUGCGUACAAGCAGUGGGAGCCUACUUGUUAGGUGACUGCGUACCUUUUGUAUAAUGGGUCAGCGACUUAUAUUCAGUGGCAAGCUUAACCGUAUAGGGUAGGCGUAGCGAAAGCGAGUCUUAAUAGGGCGUUUAGUCGCUGGGUAUAGACCCGAAACCGGGCGAUCUAUCCAUGAGCAGGUUGAAGGUUAGGUAACACUGACUGGAGGACCGAACCCACUCCCGUUGAAAAGGUAGGGGAUGACUUGUGGAUCGGAGUGAAAGGCUAAUCAAGCUCGGAGAUAGCUGGUUCUCCUCGAAAGCUAUUUAGGUAGCGCCUCAUGUAUCACUCUGGGGGGUAGAGCACUGUUUCGGCUAGGGGGUCAUCCCGACUUACCAAACCGAUGCAAACUCCGAAUACCCAGAAGUGCCGAGCAUGGGAGACACACGGCGGGUGCUAACGUCCGUCGUGAAAAGGGAAACAACCCAGACCGCCAGCUAAGGUCCCAAAGUUGUGGUUAAGUGGUAAACGAUGUGGGAAGGCUUAGACAGCUAGGAGGUUGGCUUAGAAGCAGCCACCCUUUAAAGAAAGCGUAAUAGCUCACUAGUCGAGUCGGCCUGCGCGGAAGAUGUAACGGGGCUCAAMCCACACACCGAAGCUGCGGGUGUCACGUAAGUGACGCGGUAGAGGAGCGUUCUGUAAGCCUGUGAAGGUGAGUUGAGAAGCUUGCUGGAGGUAUCAGAAGUGCGAAUGCUGACAUGAGUAACGACAAUGGGUGUGAAAAACACCCACGCCGAAAGACCAAGGGUUCCUGCGCAACGUUAAUCGACGCAGGGUUAGUCGGUUCCUAAGGCGAGGCUGAAAAGCGUAGUCGAUGGGAAACAGGUUAAUAUUCCUGUACUUCUGGUUACUGCGAUGGAGGGACGGAGAAGGCUAGGCCAGCUUGGCGUUGGUUGUCCAAGUUUAAGGUGGUAGGCUGAAAUCUUAGGUAAAUCCGGGGUUUCAAGGCCGAGAGCUGAUGACGAGUCGUCUUUUAGAUGACGAAGUGGUUGAUGCCAUGCUUCCAAGAAAAGCUUCUAAGCUUCAGGUAACCAGGAACCGUACCCCAAACCGACACAGGUGGUCGGGUAGAGAAUACCAAGGCGCUUGAGAGAACUCGGGUGAAGGAACUAGGCAAAAUGGCACCGUAACUUCGGGAGAAGGUGCGCCGGCUAGGGUGAAGGAUUUACUCCGUAAGCUCUGGCUGGUCGAAGAUACCAGGCCGCUGCGACUGUUUAUUAAAAACACAGCACUCUGCAAACACGAAAGUGGACGUAUAGGGUGUGACGCCUGCCCGGUGCCGGAAGGUUAAUUGAUGGGGUUAGCGCAAGCGAAGCUCUUGAUCGAAGCCCCGGUAAACGGCGGCCGUAACUAUAACGGUCCUAAGGUAGCGAAAUUCCUUGUCGGGUAAGUUCCGACCUGCACGAAUGGCGUAACGAUGGCGGCGCUGUCUCCACCCGAGACUCAGUGAAAUUGAAAUCGCUGUGAAGAUGCAGUGUAUCCGCGGCUAGACGGAAAGACCCCGUGAACCUUUACUGUAGCUUUGCACUGGACUUUGAGCCUGCUUGUGUAGGAUAGGUGGGAGGCUUUGAAGCGUGGACGCCAGUUCGCGUGGAGCCAUCCUUGAAAUACCACCCUGGCAUGCUUGAGGUUCUAACUCUGGUCCGUAAUCCGGAUCGAGGACAGUGUAUGGUGGGCAGUUUGACUGGGGCGGUCUCCUCCUAAAGAGUAACGGAGGAGUACGAAGGUGCGCUCAGACCGGUCGGAAAUCGGUCGCAGAGUAUAAAGGCAAAAGCGCGCUUGACUGCGAGACAGACACGUCGAGCAGGUACGAAAGUAGGUCUUAGUGAUCCGGUGGUUCUGUAUGGAAGGGCCAUCGCUCAACGGAUAAAAGGUACUCCGGGGAUAACAGGCUGAUACCGCCCAAGAGUUCAUAUCGACGGCGGUGUUUGGCACCUCGAUGKCGGCUCAUCACAUCCUGGGGCUGAAGCCGGUCCCAAGGGUAUGGCUGKUCGCCAUUUAAAGUGGUACGCGAGCUGGGUUUAGAACGUCGUGAGACAGUUCGGUCCCUAUCUGCCGUGGACGUUUGAGAUUUGAGAGGGGCUGCUCCUAGUACGAGAGGACCGGAGUGGACGAACCUCUGGUGUUCCGGUUGUCACGCCAGUGGCAUUGCCGGGUAGCUAUGUUCGGAAAAGAUAACCGCUGAAAGCAUCUAAGCGGGAAACUUGCCUCAAGAUGAGAUCUCACUGGGAACUUGAUUCCCCUGAAGGGCCGUCGAAGACUACGACGUUGAUAGGCUGGGUGUGUAAGCGUUGUGAGGCGUUGAGCUAACCAGUACUAAUUGCCCGUGAGGCUUGACCAUAUAACACCCA
rnacentral:rRNA from 1 species